AGUGAACGCUGGCGGUAGGCCUAACACAUGCAAGUCGAACGGCAGCACAGUAAGAGCUUGCUCUUACGGGUGGCGAGUGGCGGACGGGUGAGGAAUACAUCGGAAUCUACUUUUUCGUGGGGGAUAACGUAGGGAAACUUACGCUAAUACCGCAUACGACCUACGGGUGAAAGCAGGGGAUCUUCGGACCUUGCGCGAUUGAAUGAGCCGAUGUCGGAUUAGCUAGUUGGCGGGGUAAAGGCCCACCAAGGCGACGAUCCGUAGCUGGUCUGAGAGGAUGGUAGCCCCCAUGGGAACGUGAACCACGGCCCAGGUCCUUAGGGACGGCCCAGGCGGGGACUGUUGGCAACAGGGGGGAACCCUGCCCAAGCCGUGCAGGGGGGGUGAAGAAGCCCUUCGGGUUGUAAGACCCUUUUUUGGGGAAAAAAAGCCGGCGGCUUAAACCCCGCGUUUUUGACGGGAACCAAAAAAAAAACACCGGCUAACUUCGGG
rnacentral:rRNA from 1 species